GCCACUAUAGCUCAGUAGGUAGAGCGCAUCCUUGGUAAGGAUGAGGUCAUCGGUUCAAUCCCGAUUAGUGGCUCCA
rnacentral:tRNA from 1 species